UUGAACUCCUGAUCCUCUUGCCUCUACCUCCAGAGUGCUGGAAUGACAGGCAUGUGGUAUCACACCCAAUUUAUAUGGCGUUGGGGAUCUAACUCAGGACAUUGCACAUACAUGCUGGGCAAGCACUCCUCCUCUAAAACUCAGAUUUUUCAUCCCUGGUUGGAAAACACAUUCCCACAAGCAUAUAUAUGUACACAUACGUGUGCACAUAAGUACACAAGGGUGCAUGAAUGAUCAUGUGAAAGUGUAUAGUUUCUUUUGUUUUUUUAAGGUUUAGUGUGUGUGUGUGUGUGUGUGUGUGUGUGUGUGUGUGUGUGCGUGUGCGUGCGCGCGCACGAUCAGACACACCAGAAGAGGGUAUCGGAUCCCAUUACAGAUGGUUGUGAGCCACUGUGUGGUUCCCAGGACUUGAACUCAGGACCUCUGGAAGAGCAGUCAGUGCUCUUAACCACUGAGCCAUCUCUCCAGCCCAUCUUAGAUGGAGGUCUUGCUAUGUAGCUCAGGCUGACCAUACCUAGCUUUGUAACUUCUUAAAGUGAAAAAAAGUCUUGGUUCCUAGCACAGAGGGAGCUAAGGCCGGAAGAGAAUCCCAGGGUGAAGGUCAACCAGGGCUCCAAAGCAAAACCCUGCCAGAGAGACAGAGACUGUGGGAGAGGGGAAGGCUAGAACCUAAAGGGAGGUGGGUUCUAUGAAGAUUGACUCUACGAUAACCUGGGCCUGGUGGACUGAAGGUGCCAUUCUUUAGAGUCCCAUUUACUUGAGCUUAGUACACAGUCUCAAUAUGAUUCUGUUCCCCUCUAAUAUUUCAUCUGUUAUUGUAAGUAAAUAUUGCCAAAUUGGGUUCUAGGGAGUGAUGGAAAUUAUCAGAAAGAUAUGGGCAUUGGCAUAAUUCAUCGUAGGGGAAAUGUGGAAGCUGGCUUAAUUAACACACAAUUGAAGAUGCACUACUGCCCAUUUCAACUAUAUAAAAAAGUCGACCUUUCUAGGUGUAGUGGUACACGCCUGCAGGACCCAGAAUUCAGUGUCCUCAGCUACAGAGUGAGUUUGAGAGCCACCUCAGAUAGUGUCUCCACUGCCUCUUCCCCAAAAGGAGUGAAUUCUGAAAGUAUACUACACAGUGAAUGGCAGCAGUUGUCCAAUGUUUACAAGCGCUCAGAAGUAACUUUCAUUUGGCUAGUAGACCCUUCUGCACCAGGUGAUCUGCAUAAAAUUCUUUGAAAAUGCAGCCGCCUUUUAUUAAGGUCUGUUUAUGCAAAUCAGAUCAUUCCUCAAAUGUAUUUUCGAAAAACCUCUUCUGUAAGAUCACUGCUCCCAUUGUCUUUGUCUAUUGCUGUUUUAUUUCUCUGUGGUAUUGUAUGUCUGUGUGCGCACACAGAACCCAUAGUUGUGCCUGUCUAGAACACCCCCGUGCUAUAGCACUCCCUCACAGUAGCUGCACCCAUGAUUGUUUCCAUGUGUUCAGUACAAACACGGCUUUCCACAUUCCCACCCCGGGUCCUUGCAUCAAAGCUGGUCCUAGUGGAGAUGUCAUUUGGUCAACAGAUUUGGAGGUCACUUGACUUUUUCCAUAUAGAACUUUACAGUUUGUGAGCACAUACUAGUCUCCCAUAGAGCCCUUCAGUAUUGCACUGAUGUUAAAAAGGGGAGCUGUUGCAUGUACUUCCUCCUACCAUUAUGUUUGUUACACUUCUUACUUAUGAUGACCUUCACCAUGUGCCAAGAGGGAUGGUUUAUCCUUUGCUCCUGUCCGUUUGGCAAAUUUUUAUGCAGCCAUCCAGAUGGUUUGGGUCCUGCUCUGUAGUCCUUAGGAGACAACUUCGACUCUUUCCUUACUUGUCUACUGACGCAUAGAUUCCUCUCCGCUGACACAUACUGGAUUUGUGUCUGGCACUGAGACAGUAUCUGUUCAGUUUCUUUCAUGUAUGACUUAUAAUUUGAUGUUGGGGUCCUUUGAACACCUCUAGGAUUCCAGGGGUUCCUGAUAACCCCUGUGAGGACCUCCAGAGUAGAGGAAGCAGGCCUGCAUCUAGACUGAAGUUGCUGACAGAGAAUGGAGGAUUGUUUGAGGGGGAAAGACUUAGAAAUGGAGAGAAUUGCUUUGUGGGAACAAAGGAAGAUUAAACUUGGAACAAGAAUACAACAAGCAGUGAAGUUGAUCUUACAAAGGGGAAAUUGCUAGUCUCCUGAACCAUGAAUGAGAGGCCUUUAUUGACGGCUUCUUGCUUUGGAGACCACAGUGCUGGUGGUGAGGUGGCUGAGGACCCCCAAGCAUGCCAGACAAGGUGGCUUUACAGGAAGUGACGGACAGUUUGAUGCAUAGUGAAGCUUGGGUAGCGGAGUUCCAGUGGACUAUUGAAUGUGUGAUUCAAUGCACAUCUAAGAACUGGAAUGAGGCCUGGGUAAUAGAGUGUUUGUGUGGCGUGCACGAAGCCGGGACUUCCAUCCCCAGUGCCACAUACACGGAUUGUAUCAGUUCACACCUGUCAUCCCAGCACUCUUGAGGGUACAGCCAGAAGGAUCUGGAAAUGCUCACUGUCAUUCCUGGCUACACACAGAGUUCAAGGCCAGCCUAAAACACCAGAAACCCCUUUGUUACAAAACAAACAAAAAAUAAAAUUUAAUGAAAGAGAAAAAUAAAAACAGAAACCCACAGAUCUAGAAUGUAAGGGGGAAGAUCAGGGUUUACUAUGACUUUGAUAACCAAACCAAUGAAUCCAGGGGUAUUUCAGAACACGGAGGCAAAAGGGAGAAGUGAGGGUAGAGGCUGGACCAUGACCCCCAAGAGUAUGUUGGAAGAGUCCUCCAAAACUCCUGGCAGCCAAGCCAAUCAGGAGAGAGUAUUACAGAUGUGUGAGAGGGGGUAGCCAGCACCCAAGGCAGAGAAACGCAUUCCUUUGCAUUCUACCUUUCUCACUUGCUAAUCCCUGGCCACCUCCAUCAUCUCCUAUCCAGAAUAACUUUUGAUUGCUAUGGUGGUUUGAAUAUGAUGGCACCAGUAGGAGGUGUGGCCUUGUUGGAGAAAGUGUGUCAUUGUGGAGGUGGGCUUUAAGGUCCUAUGCUCAACCUCUGCCUGGUGCAAAAGAGAUCCUCUCCUUGCUGCCUGUGGGAAGGCAGGUCUCCUUCUGGCUGCUUCAGAUCAAGAUGUAGACCACUUGGCUCCUCCAGCACCAUUCUGCCUGCAUGCUGCUGUGCCUCCCGCCAUGAUGAUAAUGGACUGAACUUCUGAAACUGUAAACCAGCUCCAUUUAAGGUUUGCUUUUAUUAGGGUUGCCUUGGUCAUGGUGUCUCUUCACGGCCAUGGAAACCCUAACUAAACAAUCCCCUAGUGAAUGAUUUUAUUCCUGUUUUACAAAGACAUUCAAUCACUCUUGCCACCUGGAGAAGCCUUGGAACCCGAGGCAGAGGCUGUUCUCAGUAGGAAAGGGAGAACGUAGAGAGUUUUGCUCUAAGUAAAGGUCAGUAGAGAGGUUGCUGGGAACUGAAAAGAUUGAGGAAGGUAUCUGAGUACAUGUCAGUGAGGUAUGUACGAAGAAAGAAAAAUCAGAGUGAUACAGACAUUUUAACCAAGGCACCUCAGAUUGCUCCUGUGGGGAUAAACGCCUUCCUCUUUCAUGUUUAAGACUCCCUCUCCCGGCCUUUACCUGAGAACCAAUACUGUGGGUAGAGUGGCACCUUUGGAGUUUGGGACACCACAAAGCAAAGAAAUCUUAGAGCCCAAUGGAACUGAGAGUUCACCCCAUCCGUGAUGUCUCCUGAGAUCAUCUCCUGAGAUAAGUAGAUUUCAGAGUUGACCUCUGAAGUCCUAGCUUCUUCUCUUUGGAACAUUUUUUAUAUCUAUUUAACUUAUUUAUUUGGGAAAGAGAAGUAGAGAGACUAGGAGGGCACAUGAGGGAAGUCAGAGGCUAACUCUGAAGUCUCUUCCCUCCUUCUUAUGUGGGUCUUGCGAUGGAGCUCAUGUCCCCGGGCUUAGCAGCCUUUGCCAAGCCAUCUCCCCAGCUCAAGUCCUAGCUGCUUCUCUGGACAAUGGCAAGGAGGAGGCUUACUUCCUAAGGUCAUGUCAAGGACGAAUAGAGCAACUUGUAUGAAGGAUUCAUUCGAGUGCUUCUUCCGACUGCCGGAUUUUGGCAGGAUGAGGUGUUGUUUUACACCAUGGUGGUUACAAACCGAACAGGCGUCUCUUCAACUGGCCUGGAAAAUGUGACUCUUCCUACUGGGAGUUCCAUGUUCCAAGAGAUUGGCUUUGAGAAGAUGCUUCUCUGUAAACACUUAAAUUCUUGCUGUUAAGGUCACCUGUAAUCCCAGCACUCAGCAAACCUAAAUCCGAGCACUGGAAGUUCAAGGCUAGUCUGGAUUAUAUAAGAACGUACAUCAGAAAUAAAAUAAAAGCUGCAUGGUGGUGGCACAAGCACCCCAGCACUUGGGAACUCGGAGGAUCUCUGAGUUUGAGGCCAGUCUGGUCUACACAGCAAGUUCUGGAACAGCCAGGGCUAUGUGAGGAAGUCCUGUCUCAAAAAAACCAAAAAAUAAACAAAAAUAAGCAGCAGAGAUGGGAGAUGUCUCAGUUAGUAAAAUGCUUCCUGCACAAACAUCAUAGCCUGGAUCUGAGUUCGGAUCACCCACGCCCACAGGGAGCGGUGGAAGAAGAGACUCAUUGCAUCUCAGCGGUUAAGGAGAUCUUGGUGAUGUGGUGAUGUUUAACCCGAACUGAGUACUAAAGUCACUAAUAAAAACACUACCAGUAGACCUGUGUGUAAAAGCUUCAGAGUCAGCCUAUCACACCUGGGAAGAACGGCCUUCAAUUGAGAAACUGCCCCCCCUACCCCCUGCUGCAACAAGCAGGGUUCUCUGUUGCUGUGAUAAAACAUAACUUUGGGGGAAAGCUUCAUUUCAUUUUACAGCUUGCAGUCCAACACCCAGGGAAGUCAGGGCAGAAGCUGAUGCAGACACAGUGGAGGGGUGCUGCUUGCUGGUUGGCUCCUCAUGGCAUACUCAGCCUGCUUUAUUAUAGAGCCAGCGUCACCAGCCACAACGGCGUAGGCUCUCCCCCAUCAAUCACUAAUUAAGAAAAUACAAUACAUACUUGUCUAUAAGCUAAUCUUAUGGAGGCCUUUUCUCAAUUCAGAGUCCCGUUUCCCAUCCGAUUCGACUUUGGGCCAAGUUGACUAAAACCACCAUAACCAGCCUGACCUGCGGGCGUUUUCUUGAUUGACGGCUAGUUGACAUAGCAGGGUCCAGCCCAGUGCGGAUGGUGCCUCUUCUGGACAGGUAGUCCUGAGUUAUAUAUGAAAGCACACUAAGCAAGCCUUGAGGGGCGAGCCAGACAGCACCACUCCCCCAUGGUCUCUGCCUCCAGGUCCCUGCUCUGACUUCCCUCCACAAUAGACUAUUACAUUGAAGUGUAAGCCCUUUCCUCCCUGAGUUUUCGAUCAGUGUUACAUCAUAGCAGUAGAAGGCACAGUAGGAUGCUAUAAAAACUCUCCGGAGGGAAAGUUUCCUGAGGGGACUGGCUUAUUUGGGCUGUUGCCCAGGAUGAGAAUCAAGACUGGAAUAUUGGGUUGGGGAAGAAGGCUCAGUGAGUAGCCACACUUCCUAAACAAACAUGGGUUUGAAUCUUCCUCACCCUAGGCAAAACCUUGGGCCUGGAGUUGUAGCGCUAACAUUGUAACUCCUAUUGUGAGGGGUAGUGAGAGAGGGGUAAGUUACUACCAACUUAGGUCUAGGCUCAGUGAGUGACCCUGUCACAGUGACUAAGGUAGAGAGUGACACAGCAGGACGCUUGAUGUCUUUCUCUGGCUUCCCACUCAUGAGUACACACCAGAACACAUGUGUAUAUCCAUCAUACAUAUAUAUGUACAUGCACAUUUUCUUAGUCAGGGUUUCUAGUCUUGCACUAAACAUCACAACCAAGAAGCAAGUUGGGGAGGAAAGGGUUUAUUCCACUUACACUUCCACAUUGCUGUACAUCACCAAAGGAAGUCAGGACUGGAACUCACACAGGGCAGGAUGCAGAGGCCAUGGAGGGAUGUUACUUACUGGCUUGCUUCUCCUGGCUUGCUCAGCUUGCUCUCUUAUGGAACCCAGGACCACCAGUCUAGGGAUGGCACCACCUACAAUGGGCUGGGUCCUACCUCCCUUGAUCGCUAAUUAAGAAAAUGCCUUACAGCUGGGUCUCAUGGAGGCAUUUUCUCAACUGAGGCUCCUUUCUCUGUGGUAACUCCAGCUUAUAUCAGGUUGACACUCAAAACUGUCCAGUACACACAUAAACACUCAAAUACAUGUAUGCACACAUGUGAAAAUAGAGUACACGGUUUAUACUAGACAUGUACUAAUAGUAAGAACUAUAGUAAUAGUGAAAAUAAGAAGUAAUAGUAAUAAUAAAUAAGAAGAAGAAUAGUAAGAACUCACACCACAGUGUGAGAAGUGAGGAAACCCUGGUGAGAGAGGCUGUGCUAGGUCUGUAUUUUGAGGAGGAUUAGAGGCAGAAAGGAGAGCUUAGGGCUAAUGCAACGAGGAAAGACUUUACACCAAGGUCUUCAAACCUGGUGAAACAGGGCAGGAGGUGGCCACUUCGGCAGCAAUGCCUCUUGGGUAGAGACAUAUCCAGGAACCCUUUGUAAACGAGCACCUGAACACAGGUGUCCUGAGAAAUCAUCUGUAAACUAUAUUUCAUGGAUGCCACCUGAAAUGCAUGUAUACGAUGUAUGUAACCAUGUUCAACAAUGUCACAAUAUUCUAGACUAUAAAGUUGUAAUGCAUGGUGAGGACACAGCUCAGUGAGAACACGCCUGCAAAGCCCUAAGUUGGAUCUCUACCGAGGCACAAAAUGGAACAGAGCAUACACCUAUAAACCCAACCACUCAGGAAACUUGAAGCAGGAAAAUCAGAAGUUCAAGGCCAUCCUGGACCUAGAGAGUUCAGAGGCAUCCUGGGCUACUUGAGACCCUGUUGUCAUAAAAGAGCAGAGUCUCGUUCCGCGUGUCUCUUAGUACUGAGUGAGACAUUCUAAAGCAUUUAGAUGCUUAAUAAGACCCGCAUCUUGUCCACAAGUGUGUGUGGUUUUCUCGGGGUUUGAUUUUUAUUUUAUUUUUUCCACUUUACAGAUGUAAUCAAAGGGGAGCGGUAAGAAGGGUGACUAUACCAAUCUGUCUUCUAGAGCAGCAUACUCACUUCUCCAGUGGCGGGGGGAGAGGGAGGGGCUUUAAUUUCGUGAGUGUGAAGAAAAUGUUUGACUGACCAUCCUUGACAAGAUCUGGGCCUUUUGUAUGAGGUUGUAAUCCAUGUUUACGGUGAGCUUAGAUUUGGGGCAGAGUUUUGGGCUCCUGCCUUUCAGCGUAUCCUCUGGAGGAAUGUGUCCUUUUCACCAUGGUAUCUGCUGGAGCUUGCCUGCUGAGCUGGGGUGAGGGGUAGGGGGGGUCUCGAAACUCUCAAGAAGGUUGAAAAUCUGUAGUUGAGAACUCAUACCUAGUUGGGAUGAAUUGUCUGCACUGUGUUCAGAACCCGUGUGGAGGAAUAGCUCAGAGAGAAUGUCCAGGUCCCAGGGCAUGGUGGGUUAUGGGAGUCGUAGUACAGGGUUUUUCUGCACACCCAUGCUUCAUGCCUACUUUUUUUUUCUCCAAAUGUGAAGAACGGCCACUGGCUCGAGACAGGCCCCGAACAUCCUUUAUUCCGGCUCCUUUAUGCUCCCCUUUUAAAGAAGCUGUCAAGUUCUCUUUCUGCAGCUGACAGGAAAGGCCAAAUCUGGGAUGCUGCAAAGCAGGCACAAAAAGAAAGUUUUUUUGUGUUGAUGUUUUUACCAAGUGAGCUAAGGAGAAUUUUAGAAUCAUGUAAUUUACUCCGGAGGCAUUUACUGUACAUAGCUAUAGUGAUGGUAAUUUCCUUCAUUGUUGAAGUGAAAAGAUAACCAUCAAUCAGUUGUCAAUUGGUCAAUUGCAGAAGUGAUGAAAAGAACCCAGUUGGAACAAUCACUUCUGUGGCUACCUAGACCAUUGGGAGGCUUGAGAAAAGCGUGGGAACUGGAUUGCAUGUUUUAAAGGGAUUGGGCCAGAUCACCAGAAAGGUUAAUGGGCGUCAUUGCCCGCUAAAGAAUGGCUCUACCACUAUGCAUUUUCAAGAUGAAAAAAAAAAUGAAACAUGAGGUUAAAAGUAAAAUACUGUUCACUGAGCUAGGUAAGAGGUAACCAACCCCCACCCCAAACCCUGGAAAUUAAUGUUCUCUUAAUAGAGGAAUAAAUAAUAACUCAGUAAUAACAGCUACAAGUUCAUAACAACUUGCGCUGUGCCAUCUCCCCUCUGGUCUUAGGGACCUUAAAACAACUCACUUUCCAGGUAUUUUUUUUAUAAGGCAUUGGGAAAAUCAAGUAAAUUUUAAAUAUUACGUUUAAACAAACAUCUGCAAAUAAUUUUGUUGUUAAAAGCCCAUGGGUGUUCACAUAAAAGUUAGGAUAACAGUAGUUUUAAAAAAUCAAUAACUUGAUUGAAAAGGAAUGAUACCUUGGGACUCAGUACUGGGAAAGUGAUUCCCUGUCAAUUGUUCCUAUUUCUAGGAAUAGCAAUGUUUUAGAUUUAUUCUGAGAGAGUUCCAAACACAUCUUGGUGGGGUUUUUUGUUUGCUUGUUUGUUUGUUUAGGUUUUUUUUAUUUUUGUUUUGGUUUGGGUUUUUUGCUCUCUUUCUCUCUCUCUCUCUUUUUUUUUACUGUGGUAGGUAAUAAAAAGGGAUUCCAGGCCCCCAGAAGGACACAGCAUCAUCAGUGUGCAAUCCAGCCCGUGGUUUCUUAGAUACCGUAUUGUCUAUUCUGUUCCGCUAUGUGAAAAAUGUUGAAUAUCAACAAUGGGUUUCAGUGCUGUAUUGUUGAGUUUUGUAUGAACUAAUCUAGCUUCACUAAAAAAAAAGAAAGAAGAAGAAGAAAAGAAAAAAAGGAAAGAAAGAAGAAAUAAAGGGAAAGAAAAAAAGACAGCUUUGAACAAAAGUCCACAGCCAGUGUGUUCCAAGUCCCUGCACAGGGCUGGCUGUGGCAGGGGACACUCUCCUGCUGGCUCUCUCUGACCACACAUUAGCUGGCUCCCAUCCUCAGGUGCACGGCCACACCCUUGCACCCAACCUUGAUCCUCUGAUGGGGAAGGUCCCAGGACUUGCCAGCUGGGACAGGCCUCACCCCCAAGCGCUCUAUGCAGUACUGAGAAGCAAACCUGACAGAUUUCUCCAGAAAAGUGGCCAUCCAUGGAAUGAGUGAAAUACUCUUUCUAUUCCAGGGAUUGCAGAGGCAAAGCUAGGCUAGGUCUUGGAGGCUGGUGGAAGGCGGUGCGGGUAAGGCAGGACGCUGAUGGGAGAGACUGGUCGAAGAAAAGCCGAAAUGGAUUCUCCGUGCCUUGGAUGGAGGAAGAGGGGGGAAGUGCGAGCUCCUUCAACUCGUUCUGUCCGGUGAGGAGUGAUCCAGCUUGGGCUGACAAGAGGCUCCGGAGCCUUCAUGUUCAGUGCUUUUUUACCUGCCAAUCAAACUGCUACAAGACAACACCCUGCUCUGGCAUGGACCGCGGGUCCAAGCCUGUAGUCCCAAAUCGGAUAAUCUCUGCAGCUGGUUACACGCAAAAGAGAAGCCAGGCAACAGACAUAUUACAGAAGAAAGCUCUCGACUCCGAGAGCGUCCUCUCGCUGCACCUCUGCAGAAGUUAGGAUCCCUUGGCGCCUUCUGCCCUUCAGUCGGGUACCGGCCGCAGCCAGUUCUCUCAGCCUCUAGGCCUGGGUCGCCUCUUUUGCAAGAAAGUAAUUUCUUUCUUGAGGAGCAACUAAUGUCCCGUGGAGGAUUAUGAAGAUAGAACCUAGAAAUUAUAUUCUCUUCAAGAUCCAUGAAAGAGAACCUGACUGCUUGCUUUGGUCUGAGAGUUCAGACAUCUCUUCUCUUAAGAAAGUCUUCAUUUCCGUUUGCUGAGUCCUCCUGUUUUGUCAUCGCUGGGCCCUGUAAGAAGUUUGCCAGGAGGUCCCCAGAAGUAGAAGGACCAUGCUUCAUUUACUCCAACUGCUAAGGAUGAAGAACAUUAAGAAUUCUGUAACCUGCUGGAAUCUUGGAGCAGAACAAUAUCAUUGCGGCUCAGACAUGUCAGUCAAACAGCAGAUGCUACCUAUCUGUCAAUGUGUGUCCCCAAAACAAGGUACUUAGCAUGAAGACGUAGCUGGGUCUCCAGAGAAGGCGCCAGAGACCCUGGCACACUGAGCUGUGAGGACAAGAAUCAGAGCUGGAAGCCAGCAGAGACCUGUGCCAGAGAAACAGGCUGAAAAAAACUAAAAUUGGCCAAAAUCACAACUGUCUGAGGCUUGACAUGUGGCUUAGGUGAUAGGGUUUGUGCCUAACAUUCACAAGCCGGUGUUGGAUCCCAAAUGCUAUAACCAGGCACAAGUAGGCAGUCCCAGAAUUCGGGAGGUAAAGGCAAAAAAAUUAAAAAAGGAUCAGCGAUUUCAGCCCUAGAAAGAGCAGGAGGUCAAUAACGCCACAUUAACAACCACAAAAAGAUACAAGUAUAAAGAUAAAAUCACUUUAGGAUAAUCAGGAGUUUGUCUUUUGAUUGGGUGGGUCCUGUGCUUUUAUUUAAAAAUUAAAGCAUACAGGCACACGCUGGGUGAUGUUUGCCCGUCUUCUGUGAAGUGCUGAAGGCUGACUUGUACUGUAAAACUUUCAGAAACACAGAACAUCAGUAGAACUUUCCUGGCCAAAGGGCUCAGAGGAGCCUACCACGGGCCCCAAUGGGCCGGGCUACCCUUCCCUGCUUUAGAUAAGGCUUUCACCAUAGGGUCGAAUUCGGUCCUGCUCUCCCCCUGACACGUCCGCCCUUGCUUUCUUUGGCCUGCAGAGCCCUGUGGGACAUAAAUACUAUUAUAUAACCGGCCCCUCCCAUCGUGCCUUCACUGGCCUUUGAUAGGACUUAGAAAGUGAUUACAUAGCUUCAUUUAUUUCUUUGAAUACUCAAGUUUCACGGUCAUUAAAGUAAUCACAGACUCAUCUCGGUCCCCAUGUGAGGGCAAUGCGGCAGUCUCUCCUUUAACCAUGAUCUCUCUCUCUCUCUCUCUCUCUCUCUCUCUCUCUCUCUCUCUCUCUCUCUCUCUCUCUCUCUCCCCUUUGGUCAUCACCUCUCUCCUGCUCGCUAACUCUCUUCCCCUUCAACCCUGCCAUAAAGGACGAUAAUUUAAAUUUUGGCAGUGAAUCAUGACAUUUAUUCAACUGGUCUCCAAACCACGAGAAGCUGGGUCUUACACUGUUCAGAACAAGCAAUAGCAAAGAGCAGUUCAGCGAGGAAAGGGUUAAUUGGGUGAGUAAAGGCUAUUUUUAAAUCUGGCCCCUGUCUGCCCGGCUUGAAAAUCCACCCGGUACUGCAGAAAUCCUAAAUUGCACUGCCCUGCACCCCACUGAAAGUCUUCAGUGCGCUGUAAGACCUCCUCAGCAUGGGGAAGAUUGGGGGUGAGCCGCUGGAGGAGGGGCGCAGUCUCGGCCUUUGUGCUGCAGGCCAGUCACGGAGGUCCUGCGGAGAAGGCGCACAGAAACCCUCGAGGCCUGCAGGAACAGCCCCGCACAAAAGCGCGUUACAUGCUUGCAAAUCGCCCCACCGCUGUUAUUUUAUUUACUGUGGUCUGCGGGACAAUUGUUUUCUCUUUGCAAAAUUUUUCAGCUUCAUGGGCUUUUCUCCUCCUCUGCAGCCAUGGUCACUUGUACCACGAGGCCACAUAGAGAAGUCCGUCAUUCCCCCCCAUCUCCCCCCAUCUUCCUCAAGGCAGGGCAAAGAUCCUGCCUGGGCAGGAGGCCACGGAAGGAUGCGAUCGAUGAGUGCCCGGGCUUUGCUUUCUCUUCCAGGGAGACAAGAUUGGAGAGCUGUGUGUUUGAAAUAAUGACUUCUAUCAGUCUCGUCUGUGUGGUUUGGGUCUACGUUGUUCUGGCUUUAUUUGAUUACUUUUGUUAGAGAUAAUGCCCACACUUAUCCUUGGGGACUUAUUUACUGGGAUGAGAAGAGGAAAAAAAGGUCACAUACACUUCACUGAACCAAUUUUGCAUCUGUAAAUCCCAGUGAUUUUUUUUCCCAAUUCUAAAACUGAUAUGAAUAUCAUAUCAUUAUGGCUAGACAUAUGAGUUUGUCGUUUCUUUGCUUGGAAGGUUUGGAGGAAGGGAAGCUACCAAAACCAGUUAUUUUUAAAACCCAACAUGGGUGAGGAAUUGGGAAUGGUCAGCUUGGUGGGUAGGAACUUGCCACAGAAGCCUAGGGGCCUGAGUUCCAUCCUGGGAACACACAUGGUAGAAAAGACCCAACUUCACAAAGUCAUUAUCUGAUCUCUUCCACAAGGGAUCCAUGACAUGUACACACACACACAUAUACACAUACACACACACACACACACACAGAAUAAAUAAAAUAAAAUGGAAAAAUCAUCUUUGAAAGCAAGUUCUUUUUGUUAUUCUUAUGUGAGGGCUUUUGCUUUCAAGACUCUCACAGUGUAACCCCGACUGGCCUAGGAAACAGAGACACACCUCCCUUUGCCUGCCUCUUGAGUUAUGCGGUUAUAGGCAUGCACCAAUAUCCACCAACAGUCUGUGGGGUUUGUUUUGUUUGCUUGGUUACUUGUUUACUUGAGACACGGUCUUGCUGUUUACCACAGUCUUAUUGGUAUUCCAGGAUAGCUUUGAAUUCAUGGCCAUCCUGUCUCUGCCUGAAACUACAGGUAUGAACCACCACAUUUAUGCAGGCUUUCUCUAGUUUGGUGUGUGUGUGUGUGUGUGUGUGUGUGUACAUGUGUGAAUAUGUAUGUGUGUGUGCUCUAUAUGUACUCCACAGGUAUAGUUUUCAGGACACUAAUAAGUCAUAUAUCUCGUUUAUACACACUCGUAUACCUAGAAGGAGUCUGGAGGCUAAUCUCAUGGCUAGAGGGCAAAGCUUGCUUGUUAUAUUUGAUUGAUAAUGUUUAUUUGCUCGUUGCUGCCUAAUAAAACAGUGUAAAAUCUGA